rnacentral:rRNA from 1 species
UUUGCCUACGGGGGGCAGCAGUGGGGGAUAUUGCACAAUGGGGGGAACCCUGAUGCAGCGACGCCGCGUGGGCGAUGGAGUGCUUCGGCAUGUAAAGCCCUAUCAGCAGGGAAGAAAAUGACGGUACCUGAGUAAGAAGCCCCGGCUAACUACGUGCCAGCAGCCGCGGUAAUACGUAGGGGGCAAGCGUUAUCCGGAUUUACUGGGUGUAAAGGGAGCGUAGACGGCGAUGCAAGUCUGAAGUGAAAGCCCGGGGCUCAACCCCGGGACUGCUUUGGAAACUGUAUGGCUGGAGUGCUGGAGAG